UCGUAAAUGGAAAUGGUAAAAGAAGCAGAAGCUGGUGCUCAAGAGUGGUUACCCAGCACUGCCAGACAAACCUCUUACCUUAGCAUGUGCAUAGGUUAUAAGGCUCACCCACUUUUCCAGGGGCUUGGACUUCAGCUGUUUCACUGGGAUACAGUCAUGGAGCACCUUCUGCACAAGUUCAUUGUGGAUGGAAUCUCCAAAUUGGAUAUAACAAUAUUUUGCACCUAUUUCCACCAAAUCCUCCUCCUGAAACAAUUAAUCCAUUAAAAGAGGCCUAGAAAGAUGUCAAAAAGGCCAGAUAGCCUCAUUCAACCUUGAAGCCAGUUUAGGAAUGGGGUUUUCUCCAUUUUUGUCUAGAAAACUCUUAAGAGUCAUCCAGUAUAAGGAGGGGUGAACUUCACACAAUCAUAGCAUCAGAGAAAUUAUUAGCAAAGAUAUUUUAGAAUAAGACCCAGUUUGCCCCUUUGGACACGCCUCCUGCUGCCACAUAAACUGAAAGUUGCAGGGAAGGGAAAAAUACUGAUUAGAGUAUUUUGUGUGACAUCUGGCCCAAUGACCUGGACAGGAAUUGUUCGCUAAGAAGGGAAGGACUGUCCAUAUCCACUGCAAACUUAGUUCGUCUUCAUGCUUUUUUAACGUGGGAAGUGUUAAUACAGUUCUGACUCUUUCGGGGAUAAAUGGGGAGACCCACCUUCUCACAGCGGUACUCCCCAAACCGGACGCCGCGAAUGACUUGGUGGUAAAUGAGAUCCGUGCUGACAGGAUCCUCCUGGGAGUUGUGCCAGGGGGUGAAGAUCUCCUUGCGGAAGUAGAGGCGCCAGGGCGCGUGGCGCUCGUGGGUGCCCCGCUCCCUCACCAGCUGCUCACACUGGGAGAUGGCAUCCAGGACGUGAUCCCGGCCCCCGCCCAGCGACCACACCUGCCACAAAGGGACACUGCAUUACUGGCUUGCCUGCCCUGGGGCUGAGGGAAGGACAACAGGCACCAAGCUCCUGGUCUCCCGACAGCGGGAAAACCUCUGAAAACAUAAGCAGGCUAACUGAACAGCCAGAAGAGGCGUAUCCAAGAAACUGCCCAGGCCAAGGCAGCUGGUUUUCAAUCCCCUUGCGCGAUUGAUUUCCGUGACUGGAUUAAGGAAGAUCUGUUAGCACAGAAGUUCAUUAAACAGAACUGACCACUGAUGGAAUUCCAGCAGUCAAUGGACUUACACAAGGGAUAAGCACGAGUCAUUACCAGUCUGCAGCUCCGUACCUCAAAACCCAGAGGAGCCUGUCCUUCUUGGCCUCCAAUCAUAGAAGGUAAAAACCCAAAAAUUUUGUCCACCAUUUCUUGGUCACUGAUAACAUCAUGAUUUGUUGGUGUGUUACUCCUUUGUCUUGCUUCGUCCUC